ACUCAUCAAACCAAUUGACUCA
rnacentral:snRNA from 1 species